UCCCCGACCGGAGCCAUUGGGGUCGGGCGACGCACAGCCCCAGGAAGCUGCGAGGGGCUCAUGGCCCCAGCUCCACCCCCCUGCAAAAACCGCGGGGCAGGGGCGCAUGAUCCCAGUUCCAGCCCCCGCCGCGCUGCUGGCUUAGCCCAGCUGACAGUCCCAUCACCUCACAGCAGGGCCUGUUCCAGGCUCCUUUCCAGUACUGUUCUUUCCAAACUCAGGACUUGGGAUGGAAGAGGGAGAAGAGACUUCAGCAAUUAGUUUGCAUAAGAUGAGGAAGAACAAUGCAGAUGGGAGAUUUGGAAGAAGAGCUAGCCCUCCAUUUUCACGACCACUUGUUUAGGAUGUAUAGUCUAGAACUACACCAGAAAACCAAUUACUGGUACCUCCUUUAUGGCGUAAGGACUAGUGCUUAUGUUGUCAUUCUUUUUUUUUAUAUUUAUUUACUGCAUUAAAAUAUUUAUUUACAAAAAGUACAAUGGUCAAAAUUUUCACUUAAGCUGAGUAAGAUAUAUAUGGAUGGUCUAUUCAGUCUUUCUACUUCUAUAUGCUAUAAUUUUAAAUAAGACACAGCUAGUAAGUGGCAGCCUUGAAAAGGUCCCUCAGAGCCAGAGAAGGUUAUAAUGUACACCUCUACCCCGAUAGAACACGACCCGAUAUAACAUGAAUUCGGAUAUAAUGCGGUAAAGCAGUGCUCUGGGGGGGCAGGGCUGCACACUCCGGUGGAUCAAAGCAAGUUCGAUAUAACGCGGUUUCACUUAUAACACUGUAAGAUUUUUUGCCUCCCAAGGACAGCGUUGUAUCAGGGUAGAGGUGUAGUAUAAUCUCCCAGAACAGGAAGUUACUAAACCAUAUACCAGAAAAUUUGCAAAACCUCAGUACAUAAAAAUCUGUAACAUUAGUAAUGUCCUUUGUUUGACUACAUCUGACUGAUUCAUCCAUCUGCAUCCAGUUUGAGUUUUCAGACAACAGUUCAAGUCCCCAACUGUCUCCCACCCUUCAGAAGUUUACCAACUGUGCUAUUUCACUUAUCUUCACAUAUACACAGCCUGAGAGUGUUAGUGAUGCUAACAUAGCAUUCAGGCCUGUAUAUUUGCCUGAGAUAGAAUUUUGGGUUUUCUUUGCCUGUUUGACUUAUAAUAUUCUUACUAACCUGUGAACAAAGAACAAAGACACUCUGUGUUGCAUCUGCCCACAACCAGAAGGGGUUUAUAGCACGAAAUAAAAAGAUAAGGAAGAGAGUUAAAGUGUUGCUGGUUUUAGUGGGAGUUUAAUAUAUGACCGUUUUGACUUCUACCUCAAAGCAAGGUCAAGCAACCAGUUGGGAGGGACAAGGGAAGGUUGGGGGGGAGAGAAAGGAGGCGUAAGAAACACUAAAAAGCCAAAGAAAUGGUGACCCUGGCCAAAACACAACCUCACUCCCUACCCAUCCCAUGGGAUACAAAAGAGGUGGUACCAAAGCCCCAGACUCUUGACCCUCCAAAAACGGAAAAUUACCAUAAAUUGUAAGACGUGGUGCUGGGGCAUGCACUACAGGUAUAAUCGAGCCUGCUAAGAAAGAGCGUGGGGGGGGGGGGGGGGAAAGGGAGAGGAAAAAUAUCUACUGGUGUACAAAGCUAUGGAUAUGCUUGCUUGAUUAACCCCAAUAAACACUGCAUUGCCUGCACUUCAGACUCUGGUCUUCUUUUUGUCUGCGUGACAAUAACCAAGGGACGAUG